UUGUAAAUUUAAGAUGGUAAAGUUACCAUUCAAAAGUUUUGUAAGUUCCAUUUUAAUUUUUGGGGAAAGUACAAAAGUUACCCGAAGGUUUUGUGCUUUGAUACUUAAAAUUGAUAACAGAGUGAAGCUUAUGGUACUAUUUUGUGAAAAAUUGUACCACAAGUGUCAAAGCUCAAACCUCAGGGUACUUUUUUGUAAUUUUCCCUUAAUUUUUUUGUUAUCCAUAUUGACUUAUUAUGCUAAAUGGAAAUUUUAGGUACUUUGAUGUUGCUGGUAGGA
rnacentral:misc_RNA from 1 species